UAUCAUGUGCUGCAACUUUGAUGAUUCCUUCUGAGUUUCGUAUCUCUGUGUGCAUCCCUAAGCACCUGACCGAGGUUAUCAGUAUCGCAAACUCAAAUAUUGCUGAAAGUUUACAUAGAAUACACAAAUUAUUUAGCUCAUAUUUAAUUUACAAAUAACUAAACUAUUAAAAAAUUCAAUAUUUCCCACAUAAUUUAUUUAUUCUAAAAUGGCUAAUUCCAUACCUCUAUCUGAAAAGUACUAAAGUAUGAAAUUACACCUACAAUUUAUAUGGCUAAUUUAUAAAUAUUCAUCACAUUGUAGCUCAAAAACAUGUAUAAAUACAAAUCCUCUACAUGCUUAACAACAAACAAACUCAUUUUUCUCCCUCUCUAAAGUAUAAAACAAAGCUUAACAACAAUAAAUGAAUGUUGCAUGAAGUGCUAACCUUCACAACACUUUGGAUGAGUGAAAUCUCCGCAGACAUGAGGAAAAAAAAUUCAGCAGCACCUCCCCUAGGCUUGCUUUGGCGCUAUGGAGAGGAUGAGGUUCUCUGUCUUUGUGGAGUGGAGUGGCUCGGGCUGGAAGAGUGGUCCCUCCUAUAGAUAAGAUUUUAUCCCGGUUGGUAAAUCCAACCGGGAUAAAAGAUUAGAACUUUUGUCCGGUUGGUGUUUAUUCCCGGUUGGAUCCACCAACCGGGACAAAAGAUCCAAUCUUUUGUCCUGAUUGGAUUUACCAAUCGGGAUAACCGGUUUACUCCCGGUUGGUGAUUCAAACCGGGACAAAAGGUUGGAGCUUUUGUCCCGGUUCGUGGAUCCAACCGGGUAUAAAGGGAGGCGCUGUUGGUGUCCGGAAACCAGCCGUUUUAACCGAGAUUAAAGGGUGGCCUGUAGUCCCGGUUGCAAAAAAAGAACCGAGAGUAAAGGUGCGCCCCAUUCCAGCCUACCAUGGCGCACCCCUUUUAUCCCGGACUGAAAUUAAACCGAGACUAAAGGGGAUGGGAUCUAAAGUCAGUUCUCUAGUAGUGAAUGGCUUUAUAUCUUCUUCAUUCACAAUGUUGAGUCUUGAGUGUCGGCAGAUGAAGUGGGCUUGCCACUGUCCACACCCUCCACAAUCAUGGCCUUAC
rnacentral:lncRNA from 1 species